rnacentral:rRNA from 1 species
AUACGUAGGUGACAAGCGUUAUCCGGAUUUACUGGGCGUAAAGGGCGUGUAGGCGGUCUUGCAAGUCAGAAGUGAAAUUCCUGAGCUCAACUCGGGCGCUGCUUCUGAAACUGCAGGACUUGAGUGCUGGAGGGGAUAGCGGAAUUCCUAGUGGAGCGGUAAAAUGCGCAGAUAUUAGGAAGAACACCGGUGGCGAAGGCGGCUAUCUGGACAGUAACUGACGCUGAGGGGCGAAAGCGUGGGGAGCAAACAGGAUUAGAUUCCCUGGUAGUCCACGCCGUAAACGAUGAAUACUAGGUGUAGGGGGUAUCGACUCCCUCUGUGCCGCAGUUAACACAAUAAGUAUUCCGCCUGGGGAGUACGGCCGCAAGGUUGAAACUCAAAUGAAUUGACGGGG